AUUGAACGCUGGCGGAAUGCUUUACACAUGCAAGUCGAGCGGCAGCGCGGCCUUCGGGCUGGCGGCGAGCGGCGAACGGGUGAGUAAUGCAACGGAACAUGCCCAGUCGUGGGGGAUAACACUUCGAAAGAAGUGCUAAUACCGCAUACGUCCUGAGGGGGAAAGCGGGGGAUCGCAAGACCUCGCGCGAUUGGAGUGGCCGAUGUCAGAUUAGCUAGUUGGUGGGGUAAAGGCCUACCAAGGCGACGAUCUGUAGCUGGUCUGAGAGGAUGAUCAGCCACACUGGGACUGAGACACGGCCCAGACUCCUACGGGAGGCAGCAGUGGGGAAUUUUGGACAAUGGGGGCAACCCUGAUCCAGCCAUUCCGCGUGAGUGAAGAAGGCCUUCGGGUUGUAAAGCUCUUUCGGCAGGAACGAAACGGUGGGCUCUAACAUAGUCCGCUAAUGACGGUACCUGAAGAAGAAGCACCGGCUAACUACGUG
rnacentral:rRNA from 1 species